AGAAUAUUCAGUAUAUGUAAGCUAGUUGUGAUCAUCCUUCUAAUAUUAUCGUUUUUCAGGACCCGAGCAGUAAGCCUUAUUUUGCUGCAAAGCUGGAGCUGAAUUGGUUAAACUUACUAGUUCUGUGGGUUUUAUAGCUUUUUGCUGUUCCAGAGAUGUACUUUGUGAAGGACCCCCACCACCUCUCACUUACCUGGUAGCAAAAUUAUUCAAAUGUCAUUGUAGAAUUUAAACAUUCCUUUAAAAAAAAACAAAUAAAAAAAAGUCAGAAGUGAAAUAAGAAUUUUAUAUAAAGAGGUACAAAAGGCAAUUAUAGGGUACCAAUCUGAAACUGCAGCGUUACCAUGGAAACCAAUAGAAUCUUCUUGCUGAUUGCUCCUGUUUAAAAGUGGGUGUGUGUGUUUGUUUUGUGUUUUGUGUGUGUGUGAUAUAGAUCUGUGCAAUAGAAACAAUAUCCAAACAUUGGGUAGCUUGUCAGAUUAUAUUAAGAGUCCCAAAUUCAACUAAUAGGGGUUGUAAUCUCAAUGAUAUGGCAUAAUCUGUUGGUCCCCAUUGAUCGGUAUUGACCCAGGGCAUUCAUCCUAGCUGUGCAUAGUGGUGAUUGUCAUUAAUAAAGAAUCUUGGAGGGGAAAUGUCACUUCCCAGGAUAUGUAAUAGUCUAUGUUCACAUAUCCCCUACAUUUGAAAAAUUAUAGUUAAAUUUAUAUGUCCAAACCUUUUCAUCAUGCAACUGAGCAUUGCCUCUCUGUCAGUAAUUGUCUUUUGCUCAUUGCAAUCCGUAUAGAGGAUACAUACAGA